CUACGGGCUGCUGCAGUGAGGAAUAUUGCACAAUGGAGGAAACUCUGAUGCAGCAACGCCGCGUGGAGGAUGACGCAUUUCGGUGUGUAAACUCCUUUUAUAUGUCAAGAAAAUGACGGUAGCAUAUGAAUAAGCACCGGCUAACUCCGUGCCAGCAGCCGCGGUAAUACGGAGGGUGCAAGCGUUACUCGGAAUCACUGGGCGUAAAGGACGCGUAGGCGGGAUAUCAAGUCAGGUGUGAAAUCCUACAGCUUAACUGUAGAACUGCACUUGAAACUGGUAACCUAGAGUAUGGGAGGGGGAGAUGGAAUUAGUGGUGUAGGGGUAAAAUCCGUAGAUAUCACUAGGAAUACCUAAAGCGAAGGCGAUCUCCUGGAACAUAACUGACGCUAAGGCGUGAAAGCGUGGGGAGCAAACAGGAUUAGAUACCCGUGUAGUC
rnacentral:rRNA from 1 species